ACAGACACAGUGCCUGUCUAAUGUGAAGAGGCUAGUUGUUCCAUAGCCCCUCUGAGGUUCCUCCUUGAUUUCCGGGUAUCAAGGAGCAUUUGGUCAGCUGACCUAAGCAAGUGGGCAGGAGUGUAGGGAUGCAGCAGUUCCGUGAGGCGUGCAGCUGCAUUUUGGACCAGUUGGAGGCGAGACAAGGAAGACUGGCUAAGACCAACAUAAAGUGAAUUACAAAAUAAAGCCUAGAUGUAAUAAAGGCAUUAAUUACCUCUCAAAUUGUUGCCAUUAUGCUCUAUUCGGGUUUAUGAUCUAUUUGGUGGAUCAACAGAAAAUAAAUAUUAGAGAUGA